GUAUGGACCUUCACUCAGUUCAUUCAAAGCUUUCUCUGUGUUCCAAAUUCAGAAGUUGAAGAAGAGGUUGCUGGCCAAUCAGCAGAGCAAAUAUAUUGUAAUUACUCCAGCCCUCAAAGUCUCACUGCAGGACCUCAGUUUGGGAGUUCUGAGCCUCACCUAUUGAUGCAAAGCUUAAUGACAUUUAUGAGAUAUCGCUACAGACCACAGCUGAUGCAAGACUGGAAGUAAAAGCACUUGCUGUAUGACUGAGCAUUUUUCCCUCUCCAAGCCUACAGUUUAGAGGUUGCUCAGCUACAGAGGAUGUUAUUAUGUUCAUAAGAAAAGCACAUCUGCACACUCCACUUUUUAAAUCAUCGCCUUUGUGAUUUGAUAAUUUCUGGAUGUUACUGCCAAUAACUUCUCUGCGACUGCUGUAACUACUUGAAAUAAUAAAAAAU
rnacentral:lncRNA from 1 species